UACGUAGGGUGCGAGCGUUAAUCGGAAUUACUGGGCGUAAAGCGUGCGCAGGCGGUUCGUGAUGUCUGAUGUGAAAGCCCCGGGCUCAACCUGGGAAUGGCAUUGGAAACUAGCGGGCUGGAGUGUGGCAGAGGGGGGUGGAAUUCCACGUGUAGCAGUGAAAUGCGUAGAGAUGUGGAGGAACACCGAUGGCGAAGGCAGCCCCCUGGGCUAACACUGACGCUCAUGCACGAAAGCGUGGGGAGCAAACAGG
rnacentral:rRNA from 2 species